ACGAAACUCCGGAGAGCGCGGGUCAUCCCGCGCACCAAAGGUGCAACCCGCCGCCGCGGCGGGGAAUCUCUCAGGUAUUUGACGGAGGCG
rnacentral:ncRNA from 1 species